rnacentral:lncRNA from 1 species
UUCGAGCAUCUUCAAAAGUUUUUUCUAAAAUGUACUCUCUAAAUCAUCAUUGAAGAGUCAUUUUCUAUAUCUUUGUAUUCUCUAAAUUUUUUAUAUAUCUUGUGCGUAGUCAAAGUGUCAUCCUCGCUCUCCAUCUUUGGUUAGCAAAGCUAGAAAUCCAAAAUAGAGGAUAUCUAUAUUUAAAUAUCUAAAAUAAAGAGGCUAUUGGAGGGGGUUUUUUCAUCAAAAUAUCUAUUUCUGUAAAUUAUAAAAAAUAAUCUCUUGAAAAUGCUCUUAUACAUGAAAGCCAUCCAACCAUAUGUAAUGGGUGGGCCUAGCUUGUUACGGUUGAUAACCUAUGUCACACCCUGGCUUUUAAAAUAAGACCAGAGUCGUCAUAUGUGUGCCCAGGAAGUCCACACAUAUAACAAAAGAAUAGAAAUAUCAGAAUCAAUGUUAUAUAUAGCGGAAAAACAUAUUUAUAAUAACACUUACAAAACAUCAGA